rnacentral:rRNA from 1 species
UGGGGAAUAUUGCACAAUGGGGGAAACCCUGAUGCAGCAACGCCGCGUGAAGGAAGAAGGAUUUCGGUUCGUAAACUUUUGUCUUCGCAGACGAGAACGGACGGUAUGCGAGGAGGAAGCCACGGCUAACUACGUGCCAGCAGCCGCGGUAAUACGUAGGUGGCAAGCGUUGUCCGGAUUUACUGGGUGUAAAGGGCGUGUAGGCGGGCCUGCAAGUCAGAUGUGAAAACUAUGGGCUUAACCCAUAGACUGCAUUUGAAACUGUAGGUCUUGAGUAUCGGAGAGGAAAGCGGAAUUCCUAGUGUAGCGGUGAAAUGCGUAGAUAUUAGGAGGAACACCGGUGGCGAAGGCGGCUUUCUGGACGAAAACUGACGCUGAGGCGCGAAAGCGUGGGGAGCAAACA